rnacentral:rRNA from 1 species
ACUCCUACGGGAGGCAGCAGUGGGGAAUAUUGCACAAUGGGCGCAAGCCUGAUGCAGCCAUGCCGCGUGUAUGAAGAAGGCCUUCGGGUUGUAAAGUACUUUCAGCAGUGAGGAAGGUAGUGUAGUUAAUAGCUGCAUUAUUUGACGUUAGCUGCAGAAGAAGCACCGGCUAACUCCGUGCCAGCAGCCGCGGUAAUACGGAGGGUGCGAGCGUUAAUCGGAAUUACUGGGCGUAAAGCGCAUGCAGGUGGUUUGUUAAGUCAGAUGUGAAAGCCCGGGGCUCAACCUCGGAAUAGCAUUUGAAACUGGCAGACUAGAGUACUG